rnacentral:rRNA from 1 species
AGAGUUUGAUCAUGGCUCAGAUUGAACGCUGGCGGAAUGCUUUACACAUGCAAGUCGAACGGCAGCACGGGGCAACCUGGUGGCGAGUGGCGAACGGGUGAGUAAUACAUCGGAACGUGCCCAAUCGUGGGGGAUAACGUAGCGAAAGUUACGCUAAUACCGCAUACGAUCUACGGAUGAAAGCGGGGGAUCGCAAGACCUCGCGCGAUUGGAGCGGCCGAUGUCAGAUUAGGUAGUUGGUGGGGUAAAGGCUCACCAAGCCGACGAUCUGUAGCUGGUCUGAGAGGACGACCAGCCACACUGGGACUGAGACACGGCCCAGACUCCUACGGGAGGCAGCAGUGGGGAAUUUUGGACAAUGGGCGCAAGCCUGAUCCAGCCAUUCCGCGUGCAGGAUGAAGGCCUUCGGGUUGUAAACUGCUUUUGUACGGAACGAAACGGUCUGCCCUAAUACGGUGGGCUAAUGACGGUACCGUAAGAAUAAGCACCGGCUAACUACGUG